rnacentral:rRNA from 1 species
AUUGAACGCUGGCGGCAGGCCUAACACAUGCAAGUCGAACGAGUGGCGGACGGGUGAGUAAUGUCUGGGAAACUGCCUGAUGGAGGGGGGUAACUAAUGGAAACGGUAGAUAAUACCGCAUACCAUCGGAUGUGCCCAGAUGGGAUUAGCUAGUAGGGGGGGUAAAGGCUCACCUAGGCGACGAUCCCUAGCUGGUCUGAGAGGAUGACAGGCAACACUGGAAUGGAGACACGGGCACGACUCCUACGGGAGGCAGCAGUGGGGAAUAUUGCACAAUGGGCGAAAGCCUGAUGCAGCCCGGCCGCGUGUAUGAAGAAGGCCUGCGGGUUGGAAAGUACUUUCAGCGGGGAGGCGUUACCCGCAGAAGAAGCACCGGCUAACUCCGUGCCAGCAGCCGCGGUAAUUC